rnacentral:ncRNA from 2 species
AAUAAAUAAUAUUCGCAUACUCGUAUAUGCUGGAAAAUAUGGUUCCAGUGUUUCUACCAGACAGCCGCAAACUGUUUGACUACGGGUGUUUAUAUGAUAAUU